GGAAGGAUCAUUAAAGAAUAAUUCUUGAUCCGACCAAAGAAAGGAGGGAGAGUUGUAGCUGGCCCUAGGCACGUGCACGCUUUCUUUCUGGACUUUGGUCGUAUGGGCGCGGAGGGUCAACCCUCUGCGUCUUCAUAUGCCCCUCUUCGUGUAGAAAGUCUUUGAAUGUUUUUACCAUCAUCGAGUCGCGACUUCCAGGAGACGCGAUUCUUUGAGACAAAAGUUAUUACAACUUUCAGCAAUGGAUCUCUUGGCUCUCGCAUCGAUGAAGAACGCAGCGAAUAGCGAUAUGUAAUGUGAAUUGCAGAUCUACAGUGAAUCAUCGAAUCUUUGAACGCACCUUGCGCUCCUCGGUGUUCCGAGGAGCAUGCCUGUUUGAGCAUCAGUAAAUUCUCAACUCCUCUCGAUCGACUUCGAGUGGAGCUUGGAUGGUGGGGGCUGCCGGAGACCUGAAUAUUCGUGUUCGGGACUCGGGCUCCUCUGAAAUGUAUUGGCUUGCGGUCUGUUUUCGACUUUGCAUGACAAGGCUUUUGGCGUGAUAAUGAUCGCCGCUCGCCGAAGUGCAUGAAUGAAACCGUGCCGUGCCUCUAAUCCGUCGAUGCCUCUAUGGGGCGUCUUCUUUAUGCAUUUGACCUCAAAUCAGGUAGGACUACCCGCUGAACUUAAGCAUAUCAAUAAGCGGAGGAAA
rnacentral:rRNA from 1 species